UAGGAGCGACGGGCGGUGUG
rnacentral:misc_RNA from 1 species